GCCUGGCUGGCUCAGUUGGUAGAGUGUGAAACUCUUGAUCUUGGAGUUGUGGGUUCAAGCCCCAAGAUGGGUA
rnacentral:tRNA from 1 species